GAGUUUGAUCGUGGCUCAGAUUGAACGCUGGCGGCAGGCCUAACACAUGCAAGUCGAGCGGUAGAGAGAAGCUUGCUUCUCUUGAGAGCGGCGGACGGGUGAGUAAUGCCUAGGAAUCUGCCUGGUAGUGGGGGAUAACGCUCGGAAACGGACGCUAAUACCGCAUACGUCCUACGGGAGAAAGCAGGGGACCUUCGGGCCUUGCGCUAUCAGAUGAGCCUAGGUCGGAUUAGCUAGUUGGUGAGGUAAUGGCUCACCAAGGCGACGAUCCGUAACUGGUCUGAGAGGAUGAUCAGUCACACUGGAACUGAGACACGGUCCAGACUCCUACGGGAGGCAGCAGUGGGGAAUAUUGGACAAUGGGCGAAAGCCUGAUCCAGCCAUGCCGCGUGUGUGAAGAAGGUCUUCGGAUUGUAAAGCACUUUAAGUUGGGAGGAAGGGCAGUAAAUUAAUACUUUGCUGUUUUGACGUUACCGACAGAAUAAGCACCGGCUAACUCUGUGCCAGCCGCC
rnacentral:rRNA from 1 species